rnacentral:rRNA from 1 species
ACUGAGACACGGCCCAGACUCCUACGGGAGGCAGCAGUGGGGAAUAUUGCACAAUGGAGGAAACUCUGAUGCAGCGAUGCCGCGUGAGGGAAGAAGGUUUUAGGAUUGUAAACCUCUGUCUUCAGGGACGAAAAAAGACGGUACCUGAGGAGGAAGCUCCGGCUAACUACGUGCCAGCAGCCGCGGUAAUACGUAGGGAGCGAGCGUUGUCCGGAAUUACUGGGUGUAAAGGGAGCGUAGGCGGGAUCGCAAGUCAGAUGUGAAAACUAUGGGCUUAACCCAUAAACUGCAUUUGAAACUGUGGUUCUUGAGUGAAGUAGAGGUAAGCGGAAUUCCUAGUGUAGCGGUGAAAUGCGUAGAUAUUAGGAGGAACAUCAGUGGCGAAGGCGGCUUACUGGGCUUUAACUGACGCUGAGGCUCGAAAGCGUGGGGAGCAAACAGGAUUAGAUACCCUGGUAGUCCACGCCGUAAACGAUGAUUACUAGGUGUGGGGGGACUGACCCCUUCCGUGCCGCAGCAAACGCAAUAAGUAAUCCACCUGGGGAGUACGACCGCAAGGUUGAAACUCAAAGGAAUUGACGGGGGCCCGCACAAGCAGUGGAGUAUGUGGAUUAAUUCGAAGCAACGCGAAGAACCUUACCAGGUCUUGACAUCGUAUGCAUAGCUCAGAGAUGAGUGAAAUCUCUUCGGAGACAUAUAGACAGGUGGUGCAUGGUUGUCGUCAGCUCGUGUCGUGAGAUGUUGGGUUAAGUCCCGCAACGAGCGCAACCCUUACUGUUAGUUGCUACGCAAGAGCACUCUAGCAGGACUGCCGUUGACAAAACGGAGGAAGGUGGGGAUGACGUCAAAUCAUCAUGCCCCUUAUGACCUGGGCCUCACACGUACUACAAUGGCUGUCAACAGAGGGAAGCAAAGCCGCGAGGUGGAGCGAACCCCUAAAAGCAGUCUUAGUUCGGAUUGUAGGCUGCAACCCGCCUACAUGAAGUCGGAAUUGCUAGUAAUCGCAGAUCAGCAUGCUGCGGUGAAUACGUUCCCGGGCCUUGUACACACCGCCCGUCACGCCAUGGGAGUCGGUAACACCCGAAGCCUGUAGUCUAACCGCAAGGAGGACGCAGUCGAAGGUGGGAUUGAUGACUGGGGUGAAGUCGUAACAAGGUAGCCGUAUCGGAAGGUGCGGCUG